rnacentral:rRNA from 1 species
GAUGAACGCUGGCGGCGUGCCUAAUACAUGCAAGUCGAGCGAACAGACGAGGAGCUUGCUCCUUCGACGUUAGCGGCGGACGGGUGAGUAACACGUAGGUAACCUACCUAUAAGACUGGGAUAACUUCGGGAAACCGGAGCUAAUACCGGAUAAUAUUUCGAACCGCAUGGUUCGAUAGUGAAAGAUGGCUUUGCUAUCACUUAUAGAUGGACCUGCGCCGUAUUAGCUAGUUGGUAAGGUAACGGCUUACCAAGGCAACGAUACGUAGCCGACCUGAGAGGGGGGAUGGCCACAACGGGAAGGGAGCCCGGUCCCAGCCCCCGAGGGGAGGAGACAUGGGGAAUUUUCCCGGAAGGGGGAAAGCCCGGACGGAGAAAGGCGCCGGGAUGAAUAAGGUUUUUCGAAUCUAAAACCUUUUUUAUGAGGGAAAAAAAAACGUGUAAGUAACUGUGCACGUCUGGAGGUUACCUAAUAAGAGGCCCACGGCUAACUACGGG